rnacentral:rRNA from 1 species
CCUACGGGAGGCAGCAGUAGGGAAUAUUGGUCAAUGGAUGGAAGUCUGAACCAGCCAUGCCGCGUGCAGGAAGAAGGCCUUCUGGGUUGUAAACUGCUUUUGCCAGGGGAUAAAAUGACCGUGCGCGGUUAAUUGAAGGUACCUGGUGAAUAAGCCACGGCUAACUACGUGCCAGCAGCCGCGGUAAUACGUAGGUGGCAAGCGUUGUCCGGAUUUAUUGGGUUUAAAGGGUGCGUAGGCGGUCUAUUAAGUCAGUGGUGAAAUAUCGCAGCUUAACUGUGAGGGUGCCAUUGAUACUGAUGGACUUGAGUGAAGUCGAGGUAGGCGGAAUUGACGGUGUAGCGGUGAAAUGCUUAGAUAUCGUCAAGAACACCAAUAGUGAAGACAGCUUACUAGGCUUAUACUGACGCUGAGGCACGAAAGUGUGGGGAUCAAACAGGAUUAGAUACCCUGGUAGUC